UACGGGGGGGGGGCUAGCGUUGUUCGGAAUUACUGGGCGUAAAGGGCGCGUAGGCGGUCUGCUAAGUUGGAUGUGAAAAACUCUGGGCUUAACCCAGAGCCUGCAUUCAAUACUGACAGGCUAGAGUUCUGGAGGGGAUAGCGGAAUUCCAGGUGUAGCGGUGAAAUGCGUAGAUAUCUGGAGGAACACCGGUGGCGAAGGCGGCAUCCUGGACCGACACUGACGCUGAGGAGCGAAAGCCAGGGGAGCAAACGGG
rnacentral:rRNA from 1 species